CCACAACGAUACGCAUUGUGACGUGUCCACACAGAUUGUCUGAUAACUGUACUGAGCAACGCAGCCGAACAGGCGGUUCGCCGUUGGCCUGAUACCCCGGUAUCACCCGACCGAGUCCACUCUGAAUCGCGCUGCGGCGAAACGCCUUAUGAAGACGCACUCUCUGUCCCCUUCGUCUAGUGGCCUAGGACACUGCCCUUUCACGGCGGUAACAGGGGUUCGAACCCCCUAGGGGACGCCACUUCGCUUCAUGAUUUCAGAGCAUACUCUCGCGAGUGUGCUGCGAAAUACCGCUCUUUAACAAUCCGGAACAAGCUGAAAAUUUGAAAUAGAAACAUGCUGAGCAAAAUCAGUAUGCGAGUCUCUCAAACGAAUAAAGCAAACCUGAAUAACUCUGUGUGAAUGCCUCCGUCGGGAGGGGUUCACCGGCACGACAGGAGAGGGGUCUUCAAGACCUUAUCACUGAAGUGAGGCUGUGCGAGCGGUGGCAGGGCAAGGCGCACGGCGCGCAGGGACCGGAGUGGACUGUAUGUCCAUGAGGCUCCCGAGCACCGCGCAACGCAGCCAUGUGACCGCGUAGCCAGUCGGACAACAGAGACAUCUUAGGGUUGUGA
rnacentral:misc_RNA from 1 species